rnacentral:rRNA from 13 species
GCCAACAUCCAUACCAUGCUGAAUAAACCGGAAAUUAAGCAGCAUCGGUGCGUGGUUAGUACUUAGAUGGAUGACAGCCUGAGAACACCGCGUGCUGUUGGCU